UUUAUUUUUAAUGACUCCUCAGAGAAACAUUACUUCAAGCGGCAGCUGCAGCAGCAUGACUACGCAAGAGGAGGUGUCAUGUAUGCGAAAUACACACUGAACAAUGAGCAGUACCAGACAAUCAGAGCUGAGAAAACCAACCAGGAGAAGAUGCGAAAGCUGUACCAGCUGGUGCCAAGCUGGGAUGAAUGGCAGAAGGACCACCUCUACCAGGCACUGAAGAAAACAAACAGAGAGCUGGUUGAAGAACUGGAGGAGGAACACUUUGUUGACCGGCACCGAGAGAAGCUGAUCCAGCAAGUCUCAGAAGUGGACAGAGUCCUGAAGCUACUUCGGGGGCAUACGCUAACCCCUGAGCAAUACCAGAGCAUCAGCACCGGGAGAUCCAAUGUGGAGAAAAUGCAGAAGCUGUACGAGCUGGUGCCGAGCUGGCGGAGGGAGCGAAAGGACUGGCUCUACCGGGUACUGUGGAUGACAAACAGAGCCCUUCUUGAUGAGUGUGCAGGCUCAGAGGAACAUUUUGUGGAGCGGCAUCGGGAGCAGCUGAUUCAACGCGCCUCUUCAGUUGACACAAUNAGCUAGAAGGUAAAAUCAAAUAGGGGAAAAUAACUUCCCACUGCACCCCAAACCCCUCCCACAAGGGUCCCUACCUAGGGGUUCCCAACUCCCCCGGACCAGACGCCAUUUUGUGGCAAUGGUGUCCCCAUUUUCAGCAAUGGCGUCCGGUCCGGGAGCGUUGGCAACCCGAUCACUAUCUCUGCUCUAGGCUUUUACCCCACUUGCUGGGGCUGAACACUGUUUUUUAAGCAGCUGGGUGGUGCCAGAGCAGGAGCUGCAGCUUUAACUCUUCAAUGACCAAACUAGUGACUCUGAAAAUAUCCUGAGACUUCAUGAAUUCCAGUGAGCCCUUCUCUGCUGCUAUUGUAUUAAGGGGAAGGUGUCUGGAUGCUAUGGCGAUGGGGGGGCAGGAUGAAACUGAUGACAGCAGAGAUCAGCAGAGCCGCCCUGUGUCAGGUUAAGUAGAAUUGGGUGGAGCAGAGAGAAAGUCGCUUCCCGACACCUGCGUGGGGUUCAUAGGGGAAACAGCCACUCUGCUAAGCCCCUCGCUGUUGGCACAGCUGAUGGCAAAGCAACAGGAGAUCAGGUCCGAUCUCCAUCCUCAGCUCUUCCUACUCUGGUUCUGACACCCUUGGGCCUGCUUCAUCUGUGGACUGAGUCCCUGCAAAGAUGGCAGAGGGAGCAGUGGGCUAGAAGGAAGGGAUCUCGGGCAUAGGCUCUGACUCGGUGGGUGCUCUGGGGCUGUUUGGCAGUGUAGCAAGCUCCAGGAGGGAGGGAGGAGGAGCGGGAACGUGGCACGCUCAGGAGAGGAGACAGAGAAGAAAGAGA
rnacentral:lncRNA from 1 species